UGAUCAAAACACACCGGAUCUGCUUGUAUACUACUAUAUAACUGUACUCGUUUUCAAAGCAAUCAAUAAGGAGAUACCGUAUCACCGUAGCUCAUUGAGCCUAAACUUAUAUCGGAAAUCAUUCAAUGAGGUAAGAAAACAGGAAAAACCAUAAGCUGACAAUAUUUGUCAGUAUAUAUAUCCCAUUAAAGUUCUCUACCUGUCUUUGUUUAUGUCCAAAGUUUGUCCACGUUUUUUUGUAGUUUGCGAAUUUUGAUGACAACGAUUCAAUCGGCUAUUUAUACAAAUUAGGGUCCCGUCACGGGACGACUAUAAGCACCACACGGGUUGAAAUCCUGAGCUCCAAUUUGUGUGGUUUUCAUCAUCUACAGUGUGCGGAUAGUGGGAUGCUUCCUAUACGGAGUAGUUGAAAUUCCAGUCGUGGACAAUUAGCGGUAUCAAGUGGGGAGUAUCUGUGAGAGGCCUGCGGCAUCGGAUCUUUCUUUAAUUCUGAGUGCCCGUGAUACUUGCGAGUUAUUGGCACCUUUAAAUAACCAAUGGCCAUAACGUUCUCGCUGCGAUCUAUCCCAUAGACCGGAACGAGCUUGCUCACCAACAGAGCUUGGCUAAGAAUGCCAUCUCCUCAUACCAAUGUGACUACAACACCAACAAUUAAGGGUCAUUUGAAGGUUUUAACAGCAGUUUCCAUCAUCUUUGACCAAAAUUCAUUUUUGAGGUUCUUUUGAAAGUUGAAAGUUUUGGCACGGAACCAUAUUAAGUUCUGGCAACCCUACGAUCAUCGUCAGCUUGCUUUAUUGCUCUCCCCUGCUGUUGCUGCUUCACACACAUAAGUAACAACAAACAUAAAUGUGUAAGUAUGGGAGAUGUGAUUGCAUUAAUACACCAUACAGCAACAAUAAUAACAACAACAACAAUAAGACAACACUGGAAAACAUUUCUUGCUGCCUUUUUGAUGUUAUUGUUGUAUAUGUGUCUGUUGUUGCUUGGGCUAACUCUAGCUGUAGCUAUAGCUAACUAGCUUUCUGUCUGUCCCUAAAGAAACUUCUCUUGUUUUGUUGUCUUUUCGUUGUGUAUUGCGACGAAGACCACAAACUAACAGCAACAGCAACAACUAUAGCAGCCAAUAAAACAGAAAACACAAAGAAAAAACUAUUUAUGUUAAAUAUACGCAGAAAUGUGAAAUAUAAAUUCAAAUUAAAGAAGAAACUUGAA